CCUACGGGAGGCAGCAGUAGGGAAUCUUUCACAAUGGGCGAAAGCCUGAUGGAGCAACGCCGCGUGCAGGCUGAAGGCCUUCGGGUUGUAAACUGCUUUUAUAAGCGAGAAAUAUGAUGGUAACUUAUGAAUAAGGAUCGGCUAACUACGUGCCAGCAGCCGCGGUCAUACGUAGGAUCCGAGCAUUAUCCGGAGUGACUGGGUGUAAAGAGUUGCGUAGGUGGCAUAAUAAGUAGCUAGUGAAAUCGGGUGGCUCAACCAUUCAGACUAUUAGCUAAACUGUUAAGCUCGAGACCGUUAGGGGUAACUGGAAUUUCUAGUGUAGGAGUGAAAUCCGUAGAUAUUAGAAGGAACACCAAUAGCGUAGGCAGGUUACUGGGACGGUUCUGACACUAAGGCACGAAAGCGUAGGGAGCAAACGGGAUUAGAUACCCUGGUAGUC
rnacentral:rRNA from 1 species